UACGAAGGGGCUAGCGUUGCUCGGAAUCACUGGGCGUAAAGGGUGCGUAGGCGGGUCUUUAAGUCAGGGGUGAAUCCUGGAGCUCAACUCCAGAACUGCCUUUGGUACUGAGGAUCUUGAGUUCGGGAGAGGUGAGUGGAACUGCGAGUGUAGAGGUGAAAUUCGUAGAUAUUCGCAAGAACACCAGUGGCGAAGGCGGCUUGACUGGUCCGGAACUGACGCUGAGGUGCGAAAGCGUGGGGAGCAAACAGGG
rnacentral:rRNA from 1 species